rnacentral:rRNA from 1 species
GAGUAAUAUAUAGGAAUCUACUUAAUAGUAUGGAAUAAUUGUUAGAAAUGACAGCUAAUACCAUAUACUCCUUACGAGGGAAAGAUUUAUCGCUAUUAGAUGAGCCUAUAUUGGAUUAGCUAGUUGGUAAGGUAAUGGCUUACCAAGGCAGUGAUCUAUAGCUGGUUUGAGAGGAUGAUCAGCCACACUGGAAUUGAGAUACGGUCCAGACUCCUACGGGAGGCAGCAGUGGGGAAUAUUGGGCAAUGGGCGAAAGCUUGACCCAGCUAUGCCGCGUGAGUGAUUAAGGUCUUCGGAUUGUAAAGCUCUUUUAGUAGGGAAGAUAAUGACGGUACCUACAGAAAAAGUCCUGGCUAACUCCGUGCCAGCAGCCGCGGUAAUACGGAGAGGGCUAACGUUGUUCGGAAUUACUGGGCGUAAAGGGUACGUAGGCGGUUUAGUAAGUUAGAGGUGAAAUCCUGAGGCUUAACCUCAGAAUUGCUUUUAAAACUGCUAUACUAGAGGUCGAAAGAGGAUAGUGGAAUUCCUAAUAUAGAGGUAAAAUUCAUAGACAUUAGGAGGAACACCAGUGGCGAAGGCGGCUAUCUGGUUCGAUUCUGACGCUGAUGUACGAAAGCGUGGGGAGCAAACAGGAUUAGAUACCCUGGUAGUCCACGCUGUAAAUGGUGAAUGCUAAAUGUAGGAAUUUUUAUUUCUGUGUUGUAGCUAACGCGUUAAGCAUUCCGCCUGGGGACUACGAUCGCAAGAUUAAAACUCAAAGGAAUUGACGGGGAACCCGCACAAGCGGUGGGAGCAUGUGGUUUAAUUCGAUGCUACGCGAAAAACCUUACCACUCCCUGGACAUGGAAGGCUAUCUCCCUUCUUAACAGAAGGAUUCAGGUCCGGCUGGGCCUCACACAGGUGUUGCAUGGCUGUCGUCAGCUCGUGUCGUGAGAUGUUGGGUUCAGUCCCAUAACGAGCGCAACCCUUAUCCUUUAUUACCAGCAGGUCAGGCUGGGUACUUUAAGGAAACUGCCAAUGAUAAAUUGGAGGAAGGAGAGGACGACGUCAAGUCAUCAUGGCCCUUAUGGGGUGGGCUACACACGUGCUACAAUGGCGAUUACAAUGGGCUGCAAAACUGCAAAGUUGAGCUAAUCCUUAAAAAUCGUCUCAGUUCGGAUUGCUCUCUGUAACUCGAGAGCAUGAAGUUGGAAUCGCUAGUAAUCGUGGAUCAGCACGCCACGGUGAAUACGUUCUCGGGUCUUGUACACACUGCCCGUCAAGCCAUGGAAGUUGGUUUUACUCGAAGCUAGUGUGCUAACCUUUUUAGGAAGCAGCUAUCUAAAGUAGGGCUGAUGACUGGGGUUAAGUCGUAACAAGGUA